CACUGGGACUGAGACACUGCCCAGACUCCUACGGGAGGCUGCAGUCGAGAAUCNUUCGCAAUGGGCGCAAGCCUGACGANGCGACGCNGCGUGAGCGAAGAAGGCCUUCGGGUUGUAAAGCUCUUUCGCNUGGGAACAAGAGAUGUNGGAUAAUAUCCAGGCCGAUUUGANGGUACNNGGUAAAGAAGCACCGGCUAAC
rnacentral:rRNA from 1 species